UACGGAGGGUGCAAGCGUUAUCCGGAUUCACUGGGUUUAAAGGGUGCGUAGGCGGGUUGGUAAGUCCGUGGUGAAAUCUCCGAGCUUAACUCGGAAACUGCCGUGGAUACUAUCAAUCUUGAAUAUCGUGGAGGUAAGCGGAAUAUGUCAUGCAGCGGUGAAAUGCUUAGAGAUGACAUAGAACACCAAUUGCGAAGGCAGCUCGCUAAACUGUAACUGACGCUGAGGCACGAAAGCGUGGGGAUCAAACAGG
rnacentral:rRNA from 1 species